UACGUAGGGUGCGAGCGUUAAUCGGAAUUACUGGGCGUAAAGCGUGCGUAGGCGGUCCGCAAAGUCUGAUGUGAAAGCCCCGGGCUCAACCUGGGAACUGCAUUGGAAACUAACGGGCUCGAGUGUGGCAGAGGGGGGUGGGAAUUCCACGUGUAGCAGUGAAAUGCGUAGAGAUGUGGAGGAACACCGAUGGCGAAGGCAGCCCCCUGGGCUAACACUGACGCUCAGGCACGAAAGCGUGGGGAGCAAACAGG
rnacentral:rRNA from 1 species